UCCUACGGGAGGCAGCAGUGGGGAAUAUUGGACGAUGGGGGGAACCCUGAUCCAGCCAUGCCGCGUGUGUGAAGAAGGCCUUUUGGUUGUAAAGCACUUUAAGCAGUGAAGAAGACUCUUCGGUUAAUACCCGGGGACGAUGACAUUAGCUGCAGAAUAAGCACCGGCUAACUCUGUGCCAGCAGCCGCGGUAAU
rnacentral:rRNA from 1 species